UGGCCCGUUGAGAACAUUUGACGCCGUCACAACCUGCUGAGAGGAUGAAGUGUGUUAUGAUCUUUCUCGUGCUGUCUCUGGUCCUCCUCAUGGCCGAACCUGGGGAGGGAUUCAUUAGGUCUUUUUUUAGAGGGGCCAAGACCGCAUUUAGAGGUGCCAGGGAUAACCUGAGGGCAUACAGACACCAGCGGAGAUUGGAGAAAAUAGCAAGAUAUGAACAAAACCAGGAAGAGCCAGACCAUGAACCAGAACACCGUCGCUGAUACUGCUCCUCUGAAGCCAUGCCCAAUGUCUGCAUGCAACAUUUUGCUUGAAUCUAGAACCAGUUCAACCAUUAAUGCUUGGAUCUAUAAGGUUUUCCUAUUUGGAAAUAUUUGUGGCUAGAGCAUUUUUCUUUAUUUCUUUGACCUUUAGAAAGAAAGAGCAAUAUAUAUAUAUAUAUAUAUAUAUAUAUAUAUAUUGGAUUUAUGUAUUUCUCACACCUUGCAUGCUUCAAUCUUCUGCCAAUGAAUAGUUCCAAAAUGAGAUGUUGCAGCA